CCUACGGGAGGCAGCAGUGGGGAAUAUUGCACAAUGGGGGAAACCCUGAUGCAGCAACGCCGCGUGAAGGAAGACGGUUUUCGGAUUGUAAACUUCUGUUCUUAGUGAAGAAUAAUGACGGUAGCGAAGGAGCAAGCCACGGCUAACUACGUGCCAGCAGCCGCGGUAAUACGUAGGUGGCAAGCGUUGUCCCGAAUUACUGGGGGGAAAGGGAGCGGAGGCGGGAAGCCACGUCAGCGGUGAAAACUACGGGCUUAACUUGUAGACUGCAGUUGAAACUGGUUUUCUUGAGUGCAGUAGGGGUUGGCGGAAUUCCGAGUGUAGCGGUGAGCUGCGUAGAUCUUCGGCG
rnacentral:rRNA from 1 species